UAGGGAAUAUUGCGCAAUGGGGGCAACCCUGACGCAGCGACGCCGCGUGAGUGAUGAAGGCCUUUCUGGUUGUAAAGCUCUGUAAAGAGGGAAGAAUGUCAGGCGGUAAUGCGUCUGAGUGACGGUACCUCUGAAGUAAGGACCGGCUAAACACGUGCCAGCAGCCGCGGUAAUACGUGUGGUCCUAGCGUUGUCCGGAAUAACUGGGCGGAAAGGGUGUGUAGGCGGAUGUCCGUGUCAGGUGUGAAAUCCCCCGGCUUAACUGGGGCAUUGUGCUUGAAACUGGAUAUCUGGAGCGUGGCAGGGGUAAGCGGAAUUCCCGGAGUAGCGGUGAAACGCGUAGAUAUCGGGAAGAACACCGGUGGCGAAGGCGGCUUACUGGGACAUGGCUGACCCUGAGGCACGAAAGCGUGGGGAGCGAACG
rnacentral:rRNA from 1 species